rnacentral:rRNA from 1 species
CCCCGAUUUACCUUACUUUACAUUUAAGUUUAUAUACCAUUGUAUAACCAAAUUUCUAAAAAUUUUCGUCAGAAAUCUAAUCAAAAUAAAAAUUCAAAUCAAGGUGUAAUUAUAAGUAAAGAAUAAAUUAGUUACUUUCUAUUUAUAGCACUCAAAACAAAAAGAAAUAAUUGUCAAAAGCAGGAUUUAUUUGUAAAAAGAAACUAGUGAAUUCAUUUGAAUAAAUUCUAUAAAUGUGUACAUACCGCCCGUCGCUCGCGGGA